rnacentral:rRNA from 1 species
ACCAGACUCCUACGGGAGGCAGCAGUGAGGAAUAUUGGUCAAUGGCCGGAAGGCUGAACCAGCCAAGCCGCGUGAGGGAGGAAGGCGCAGAGCGUCGCAGACCUCUUUUGCCGGGGGACAAAAGGCCGGACUCGUCCGGUCCUGAGGGUACCCGGAGAAAAAGCAUCGGCUAACUCCGUGCCAGCAGCCGCGGUAAUACGGAGGAUGCGAGCGUUAUCCGGAUUUAUUGGGUUUAAAGGGUGCGUAGGCGGAAUGCCAAGUCAGCGGUAAAAUUGCGGGGCUCAACCUCGUCGAGCCGUUGAAACUGGGUGCCUUGAGUGGGCGAGAAGUACGCGGAAUGCGUGGUGUAGCGGUGAAAUGCAUAGAUAUCACGCAGAACUCCGAUUGCGAAGGCAGCAUACCGGCGCGCAACUGACGCUCAUGCACGAAAGCGUGGGUAUCGAACAGGAUUAGAUACCCGCGUACU